UUAUCACAGGGAAUUUGUUUAAGAUUAGCAUCCAUUGAUUCAAAAAAGAUUAGCAUCCACAAGCUCCACCACAAAAAUUCGACGCCAUUGACAUCUUCCCAACCAAAACUCUACUCUUACACUUCCCCAAAUUCUCAAAUUCCUGAAUUUUUCUGUAUUUAGCUGAAGAUGUACCGGUCCGGGAGCUCAAACUGUUUCUCCGACGAGUUUUUCUCGAGCCCAUCUGCAUCUCUAUUGUGCUCAUCAUCUGUGCCGUCAUCUUUUGGUUCUUCUCUGCUCCAGGUUAGGUUUUCAUUUUUAUUUACUUCUAUUUUAUUAAAGUUGCUCAACUAUUUAACUAGAACAUCCGUUCAAAAAUCUAAGGAUGGGGCGGUUUUGGGAGCGAGAUGGCUUUAAGGCGUGAGGUUUAAGAUUGACAGCCAUUGGCUGCAAAUGCCCCGACAGCGGUGGCAAGUUCUCAUCCCGGAGAGCCCAAAGCGAGCUUGACUUGGCUGUUGCGCUCAGCGAUUUUUUCAAGAUAGGAAGCGCUAGAGCUAAGUCGAGGUGCAGCAACGACAAUGAUUCCAACUUAUGCGACUUGGCUUAUCUGGCCACACGGAUUUCGUAGAUUAAGAAGAAUGAAAUGCAGUUGGUAAGCCUUGCUGCGCUCCUAUUGGUGUUUCAAUCUCAGACUGUAAAUCUUUCAUUGAAUAAGCAUCUCAGCAUAGUCAUAUACUACGGAUCAAAUGCUGAAAAUGGAAAAGACAAUCUUGAAGAAAUUGAGGUUCCGUCUUAACUAGCCAACUCCCUAUAUUUUGAUGCUCAGAUUUCUCAAGGCUGCUCAAUUUGACACAAAGGAAUAAAUGAUGGAGUUGUAACCAAUGAUUGUAAUGUUCGUUGGUUUGCUUGUCACGAAGGAGGAGUUUGAAAGAAAAUCAAAAGUGUUUGAUCAAUUGUAUAGUUAUUUUUUUUUUUGAGAGGAAUUGUAUAGUUAUUUUGACAUGUAAAGUUUUGUGUAGUUGUCAUAUAAAUAUUGUGUACUUUAAUAUUAUUUAUGAAAUAAAUUUUUUAUAAUCUUGCUGUU